rnacentral:lncRNA from 1 species
CUGAAAUUCUUGGGCUAGGCUUGAUGGAGAUGCUGGGCCAAAAUCUGAGUUGGAUGGGCUGCUGGGCCCACUUGGGCUGAGAGGGCCUUCGAUGGAAAUGGAGGAGGAUCGGUGGGCUGAGCUGCUUCGGGCUUCACUGGAACUUGGGCCGUUAGACUGAGCUCGUGGGCGUGAAGUUCGCUAGGUUGCUGCUUGCCUCGAUUGGAGAAGAGAUGGACG